UGCCUUACACAUGCAAGUCGAACGGCAACAGGGUGGCAGCCCUGGUGACGAGUGGCGAACGGGUGAGUAAUACGUCGGAACGUGUCGAGUAGUGGGGGAUAACCCAGCGAAAGCUGGAUUAAUACCGCAUACGUUCUGAGGUGGAAAGGGGGGGAUCUUAGGACCUCCCGCUACAGGAGCGGCCGAUGUCAGAUUAGCUAGUAGGUGGGGUAAAGGCUCACCUAGGCGACGAUCAGUAGCUGGUCUGAGAGGAUGACCAGCCACACUGGGACUGAGACACGGCCCAGACUCCUACGGGAGGCAGCAGUGGGGAAUUUUGGACAAUGGGGGCAACCCUGAUCCAGCCAUGCCGCGUGUGUGAAGAAGGCCUUCGGGUUGUAAAGCUC
rnacentral:rRNA from 1 species